rnacentral:rRNA from 1 species
UACGGAGGGUGCAAGCGUUAUCCGGAUUCACUGGGUUUAAAGGGUGCGUAGGUGGGCAGGUAAGUCAGUGGUGAAAUCUCCGGGCUUAACCCGGAAACUGCCAUUGAUACUAUCAGUCUUGAAUACCGUGGAGGUAAGCGGAAUAUGUCAUGUAGCGGUGAAAUGCUUAGAUAUGACAUAGAACACCGAUUGCGAAGGCAGCUUACUACACGAUCAUUGACACUGAGGCACGAAAGCGUGGGGAGCAAACAGGA